AUGAAAAUAUUAAGUUGGAACUGCCGCGGGAUAGGCGAUCCCGCGACAGUUCGAGAGCUCCGCGAUCUUGUGGAGAUCAGUUCGCCAGCUAUCUUGUGUUUAGUUGAAACUCAAUUACAAAAAAGUCGUGUUGAAGGUCUUCGUUUUUCUUUACGUUAUGAUUUCAGUUUUGGAGUUGGUAGUAGUGGCCGUAGUGGCGGUCUUUGUAUCUUUUGGAAAAAAAAAUCCUUGGAUGUUGCAAUAAAGAACUUUUCAGAGUAUCAUGUUGAUGCCUGGGUCACAGAACCAGGUAACGAGAAGUGGAGGCUGACAUGUUUUUAUGGAGAAGCUACUAGGAGUCUACUUUGCAAGACCUGGGAUACCAUGAAAAGGUUGAGGGGGAGAGAGCACUCCCGUGGAUGUGCAUAG
rnacentral:rRNA from 1 species